CUCUGUGACUCCUACGGGAGGCAGCAGUGGGGAAUAUUGCACAAUGGGGGAAACCCUGAUGCAGCCAUGCCGCGUGUGUGAAGAAGGCCUUCGGGUUGUAAAGCUACUUUCAGUAGGGAGGAAGGUAGUGUAGUUAAUACCUGCAUUAUUUGACGUUACCUACAGAAGAAGCACCGGCUAACUCCGUGCCAGCAGCCGCGGUAAUACGGAGGGUGCGAGCGUUAAUCGGAAUUACUGGGCGUAAAGCGCAUGCAGGCGGCCUGUUAAGUCAGAUGUGAAAGCCCGGGGCUUAACCUCGGAAUUGCAUUUGAAACUGGCAGGCUAGAGUCUUGUAGAGGGGGUAGAAUUUCAGGUGUAGCGGUGAAAUGCGUAGAGAUCUGAAGGAAUACCAGUGGCGAAGGCGGCCCCCUGGACAAAGACUGACGCUCAGAUGCGAAAGCGUGGGGAGCAAACAGGAUUAGAUACCCUGGUAG
rnacentral:rRNA from 1 species